AGCGAACGCUGGCGGCAGGCUUAACACAUGCAAGUCGAGCGGGCAUCCUUGUGGUGUCAGCGGCGGACGGGUGAGUAACGCGUGGGAACGUGCCUUCUGGUUCGGAAUAACUCAGGGAAACUUGAGCUAAUACCGGAUACGCCCUUUUGGGGAAAGGUCUACUGCCGGAAGAUCGGCCCGCGGGUGGUUAGCUAGUUGGUGGGGUAACGGCCUAACAAGGCGACGACCAGUAGCUGGUCUGAGAGGAUGAUCAGCCACCAUGGGAGUGAGACACGGCCCAGACUCCUACGGGAGGCAGCGGUGGGGAAUAUUGGACAAUGGGCGCAAGCCUGAUCCAGCCAUGCCGCGUGAGUGAUGAAGGCCUUAGGGUUGUAAAGCUCUUUUAUCCGGGACGAUAAUGACGGUACCGGAGGAAUAAGCCCCGGCUAACUUCGUGCCAGCAGCCGCGGUAAUAC
rnacentral:rRNA from 1 species